rnacentral:tRNA from 1 species
GCGGGCGGCUUAAUGGUAGAGCGCCAGCUUCCGAGCUGGAGAUGCCGGUUCGAUCCCGCGCCGCUCGCU